GAUGAAGAACGUAGCGAAAUGCGAUAAGUAAUGUGAAUUGCAGAAUUCAGUGAAUCAUCGAAUCUUUGAACGCACCUUGCGCCCUUUGGCCAUUCCGAAGGGCAUGCCUGUUUGAGUAUCAUGAACACCUCAACUCUUUAUGGUUUUCCAUGAUGAGCUUGGACUCUGGGGGUUUUGUUGGCUCACAGUCGGCUCCUCUGAAAUGAAUCAGCUUACCAGUGUUUGGUGGGUAUCAUAGGUGUGAUAACUAUCUACGCUUGUGGUUUUUCCACCAGGUAACCUUCAGCAGUGGAGGUUCGCUGGAGCUCAUAGAUGUCUCUCCUCAGUGAGGACAGCCCUUUGAAUGUUUGAUCUCAAAUCAGGUAGGACUACCCGCUGAACUUAAGCAUAUCAAUAAGCGGAGGA
rnacentral:misc_RNA from 1 species